UUUUGCUGCCGAAAAACUUUAAUUUCUUUGCAUUAUCUUUGUGUGUGUAUAUGCGGCAGUGGUUUCAGAGGCUAUAUAUAUACACUACUUGUUUCAUUGUAAGGUAGAUUGGCUGUGGUUCCACACUUUGAUGUGCUGUCAUAUGCUAACCGCUGAUUAAUAAGUAGCUGAUCAUGACUGCUCACAAGUUUCUUCCAGUACAUGCUCAGAUCAAGAUCAAAUCUCAAGUAGCGGAUUUCCUUGAUUAGGUUUUGUUCCUCCUUCGACAAUGUUUUCUCCUUCAUUUUGCUCACUAUAUAUUUAAUUCUCUCAGAAACAUCCAUGCCAAAAUUGACUGAAACUAUUUUAGUUUUCUCUAUUCCAUGAUUGACUUGAUUUCAUGCUUCACCGUUGAUGCUCUUGGUGAUUUAAAUACAACCCAAGCUAACAAACACUGUUCGCAUCGAUGGUAAUAGACUUGUAUAUAAUAUAGCUUGUCCUUAAUUUAAAACAUGCAUGCAUGUAUCAACACGCCUACAUAUAGGCCUUAUUUUUAAUUAUUAUGAAUUUGUCAGUAGUGAUUAAACACAGUUUUAAUUUAUGGACAUAAGUGAGUUAAUACAUAAAAGAGCUUCAUUAUAACUAAUACGGUAAGAAUUUCUAGGUCGGAUCAUUUUAAAUUGAAAUAAUUUAAGUUACAGAAAAUCUUCCAAAUGUAUUUUCACUUUUAGAGAUUUGUGUUUAAGCGAAAGAAAUCUAAUUAUACAAAUUAAAUAUUAAAUACAAGUUUAAAGUCCUACUCAUGGGAGAAGGCAAACAAGUAAGCCUCUUGUCAUAAAAGCUGUAGUUGUUCUUAAUCGUGCCGCUGAAUUUCUGCAGUUGAUGAUGAUGUUACAGGCUAUAUAUAUAUAUAUAUGUGGAGUUAUACUUGAAUACAUGCACAUCAUAUUCUAUUUUAAGUUUAAUCGUUUUUUCAUUGGGAUCAGUUGUACAGUUGAGUCGUUGUAUAAUUUAACUUAAAAGUAAAAUUACAGUUUAUGUUUAAUUAAUAGCUGAUGCCUGAUGCAAAGAAUUACUACUACUAGGCUACUGGCUUGUUUGUUACGUACUUCAUUUAAGCGCGAGUAUAUAUUUUGUUUCCAAUUCGUGGACACUCCCUUUUGCAUGCAGAGGACAAAAGCAUAUAUAAUUGGAUGCCUACUACUUAUCAUUUUUUUAUCAGACCAAACAUGUGAUAAUCAAAACGUACGCUGAAACUCAGCACCACACGCUUUACUUGCCAAUCAUGUGAUAACUUCAUAUAUGCAUGCUAUUGCGUUUUCGUGAGUAUAUAUUAGUAUCUAGCUAAUUAAGGCUCUAAGCCAAUAUACUUUAAAAAAUAUGAAGCUGUGAUAUAUUUUGAGUGUUUUGGUUUUAUGGUAGGAAUUAUGAGAAUGGAUUAUUAAUAUUACUGCAGACUAACUUGAUUUUAUAAUCGAAUUCAACCUGUUUUUACGAGUUAAAAAAGAUAUCUUCAAAAUAUACAUUAAAUAUUAUUUGUAAAAUUAAAAAUUGUUUAAAAUAACUUCAACUUAGGCUAGGUUUAUCCAUGGCACAUGAUGGGUCAUGAAUAUAUCCAUAUUGAAAAUCACUAAUUGUUGUUUCAAGAUGUUGAAUGAAAUUGUGAUGUUAUUAUAAGACAGCAUCAUAAGUAUUAUUUAUUAUUUAUUCAAAAUAGAAUUUUUUAGUAAUUGCAUACUGCUAAUGUUAGAGGAUGAGAUAAAAAGUUAACUGUAAUUAGAGCCAUUAUCAACCUAAAUUAAUAUUGUACUAUAGUAUAAGUUUUGUUUAAUAUUAUCGUUUCCCGUCAUUUUGGUUGGGCUAGUUAUAACUUACAAUCUCCCAUGAUAUAAUAAGUAGAAUAUUCGUUGCUCGUUUUUCCUGUGUGUGUGUGUGGUGGUUCACUUGGCCACUUGGAGUUUUUUCGGUUUCAUGAUUCAUCAAAGAUAAUCGUAUAAUAAUUACCAAAACUAAGAUAAUUGUAUAAAAAAUUCUGAGAGACCAAGCAUGGGAGUGAACAUCCUUUUCAUUAAAAGCACUAUAUGCAUGCAGCAUCUUGACUGACGAUAAAGUCAAUGAUACGAUUUAAAAUUUUCACUGUGUGUUUUGUCCCUGUCCUUCUCACGUUUCUCCAUUAAAAAUGAGACAACUGAUCUGCUCCAUACUUUAAUUUUCUAGGUGUAAAAAUUAGACUAUACACCCACAAGAUCGAUUUCAAUCCACGUUGUGUAUUUUUGUUUGAUUCCAUUCCUUUCUAUUAUUAAUUAUUUUUAGGGUUUUGUUAGUAGUAUUUUAAAGAUAAAACAAAUAAUACAUGUAUUAAUACGGUAAGGAAUGUUUAUAUUCCCAUUCACUCAUAAAUUAUUAUAUAAGUAUAAUAAUUUUAAUUUAUUUUAUCAUAAUAAUUACAAUAAAAAUCAUAUCAAUAGUUCUUAUUGGUCGGUAAUAUAAAAACAUUUACUUUAACAAUGUAUCUCUAUUAAACUUUUAAAGAUAUUAGUAAAAAUUAUUAAAUAAAAAGUUUUUGUUAAAACUUUCAAUAGUAUUAAAAAUCAAGUGUAUUUAUAACAUUAUUUUUAUUUUUAAGUCUUUAACUUGUAUCUUAUAGAUAUUGUUAACAUUCUCCUUAUUUCUAUUAUUAUACUGAAUGAGACCCAUUAUUAAUUUGGAGAAGUUGAAACAACCAUCGGCCACCUACCGUAGCCCUCAAAGCAAGUAAAUAAACCACGUAUGCCACCCAUAAUUAUGUGGCUAUUUCUGAUGGGGAAAUAGUAGUUGAGAACCUCCAACAUACUCAGGCCUAAGCAAGAAACAAUGACGAAAAUAGAAAGAGAAGCAGCAAACAGAAAGUUGAGUUUUUAUUAUUCAAGCAAACUCGUACAAUAACGAUAGAGAUGCUACGUUUUAGUAAAAAAAAAUAUUAAAAAAUUACUCAAAAAUUUAUAGGAUGCUGUAACAUUAAGUCUAGAGUAAACUUUAGUCGUCUUUGAAUUUGACGACCACGAAUGAAUUUGAUGAAAACUGCACGAAA